GACGAACGCUGGCGGCGUGCUUAACACAUGCAAGUCGAACGGAGUGGCGGACUGGUGAGUAACGCGUGAGGAACCUGCCUUUCGGAGGGGGACAACAGUUGGAAACGACUGCUAAUACCGCAUGCCGAAAGAUGGCCUCGCGUCUGAUUAGCUAGUUGGUGAGGUAACGGCCCACCAAGGCGACGAUCAGUAGCCGGACUGAGAGGUUGGCCGGCCACAUUGGGACUGAGAUACGGCCCAGACUCCUACGGGAGGCAGCAGUGGGGAAUAUUGGGCAAUGGACGCAAGUCUGGCCCAGCAACGCCGCGUGAAGGAAGAAGGCUUUCGGGUUGCAAACUUCUUUUAAGGGGGAAGCGGUGCCCCUUGAAUAAGCCACGGCUAACUACGUGCCAGCAGCCGCGGUAAUACGUAGGUGGCAAGCGUUGUCCGGGUUUACUGGGUGUAAAGGGCGUGUAGCCGGAGAGGCAAGUCAGAUGUGAAAUCCGCGGGCUCAACCCGCGAACUGCAUUUGAAACUGCUUCCCUUGAGUAUCGGAGAGGUAAUCGGAAUUCCUAGUGUAGCGGUGAAAUGCGUAGAUAUUAGGAGAACACCAGUGGCGAAGGCGGGUUACUGGACGACAACUGACGGUGAGGCGCGAAAGCGGGGGAGCAAACAGGAUUAGAUACCCUGGUAGUCCACGCUGUAAACGAUCGAUACUAGGUGUGCGGUCGUGCCGGAGUUAACACGAUAAGUAUCGCACCUGGGGAGUACGAUCGCAAGGUUGCAACUCAAAUGAAUUG
rnacentral:rRNA from 1 species